UCCGCCGGAGGGUGCGAGAGCAGUUGGAAGUAUGAAGUAUUUGCAAUUUUGAAAGUCAAAGGCACUGGGAGGAGGUUUACUCCAGCAAAUAGCGGAGUCACGAAGAAAACUCAGAGAUAUGAGCAGAGACACCAGCUCCCCAACACCCAAAUGUUGCGAUGGCCAGCCAAGUCUUCCCCAGAUACUGCAACUCGGCUGCCCCCACGUUCCGGGCCGGACAGUCCCCUCACUGGCACAGGCAGCAAACAUGAGAGGGGGCAGGAACAUGAGGGAUAAGGGCGGGGAAAAGGUUGAAUGAACCAAGGCUGGACAGAGACACUUCGCUCCAGUUUUUCAAUGCAGAAUCAACAUCACAAAAGACCUGGCUUUCAUUUUCACAGUGCAGCGUCCAUGUCUAUUAGCUCCUGUAAGAACUGGGAAGAACAAGAGAAGAUGGAGGAAGACACCAUCCCAAAUGUCACCUGUUAAAGUACAGCACCUUAGCCCUGUCCCCCCCAGAGAACACGUGGAGGAUGAAAGGGCACAAAACAAAAAGCAUGGAAUACAGGAGCAGAAAAGACAGACAGAGCACCAAGCAGGUUUGGUUUAGAAAAUAAUCUAAAGCCUCCUAGAAUCAAUAGGAAGUCCCUUUAAUUGAUUGCAAUGGGCUUUGAAUUAGACCUAUAUUCUACUUAUCAAGUACAGCUGCUGAGAAUCAAUAAUAUUUUGACUUACCCCUCAAAGAAACAACUACACCAGUAAAUUUUGACUAAGAAAAAGUACAAUUAACAGCAUAUUAAUUCAUUAGAGUUUAUCUCACUGAAGUCCCCUUCUCAUCAGAUUGUAGUCAGCUGGCAUUUGUAAGUGAUCAUGCAGGCAUGAAUAUCCUAUAUAAAUGAGGCAGUAAAGAAAAAAACUUUUGUUCUUAGCAUUAAUUCAGAUCAAAUAUUCAUUGAUAUCUACAUUUCUCAGCGAGUAUCUCAAGCAGAGAUCAAUAAACACUUAUUAGUCACUGACCACGUUU